GUAGGUGGCAAGCGUUGUCCGGAAUUAUUGGGCGUAAAGCGCGCGCAGGCGGUUCUUUAAGUCUGAUGUGAAAGCCCACGGCUCAACCGUGGAGGGUCAUUGGAAACUGGAGAACUUGAGUACAGAAGAGGAAAGCGGAAUUCCACGUGUAGCGGUGAAAUGCGUAGAGAUGUGGAGGAACACCAGUGGCGAAGGCGGCUUUCUGGUCUGUAACUGACGCUGAGGCGCGAAAGCGUGGGGAGCAAACAGGGAUUCGAUACCCUGGUAGUCCACGCCGUAAACGAUGAGUGCUAAGUGUUAGGGGGGUUUCCGCCCCCUUAGUGCUGCAGCUAACGCAUUAAGCACUCCGCCUGGGGAGUACGGCCGCAAGGCUG
rnacentral:rRNA from 1 species